CGACCUCAGAUCAGGCGGGACUACCCGCCGGAUUUCAGCAUAUUAAUAAGCGGAAGAAAGAAACAACCGUGAUUCCCUUAGUAGCGGCGAGCGAACCGGGAAAGCCCAUCGCCGAAUCUCGCC
rnacentral:ncRNA from 1 species